rnacentral:tRNA from 1 species
GCCUGGAUAGCUCAGUUGGUUGGGCGUCUGACUUCAGCUCAGGUCAUGAUCUCAUGGUUGGUGGGUUUGAGCCCCACAUCGGGCU